GUGGGAGUAAGAGCGGGGACAUUGUCCACAAUGCGAGUGACGGCAGCGCUCAAAAUGGAUCGGGCGGGAGUGAAAUCUCCGUUGUCGAAAACCCUAGAAAGAGAAAUGGAGAAUCUGGAAUUGGAUAAACAAAAAGGGAAAACAUGUUUUAGAAAUCUGGUUUUGAAAUGGGAAGGAGAAGGAGGAGGAAGAAGAAUUGCUAUGGAUUUCGAAUGAGCCAAUGCCAUUUUGGCCUUGAAAACCUCAAAUUGAACUGUUU
rnacentral:misc_RNA from 1 species